rnacentral:rRNA from 1 species
UACGUAGGCAGCGAGCGUUGUUCGGAGUUACUGGGCGUUAAAGGGUGUGUAGGCGGUUGUUUAAGUUUGGUGUGAAAUCUCCCGGCUCAACUGGGAGGGUGCGCCGAAUACUGAAUGACUUGGAGUGCGGGAGAGGAAAGUGGAAUUCCUGGUGUAGCGGUGAAAUGCGUAGAUAUCAGGAGGAACACCGGUGGUGUAGACGGCUUCUGGACCGUAACUGACGCUGAGACACGAAAGCGUGGGUAGCAAACAGG